AGAGAGAGGAUGUAAAAGUCUCUGAUACUGCUCCAACCCUUAUCUGCAAGCCACCAUACACCCUUCACCAUGAUGUUAAUGGACUAAGCUUCUGAAACUAGGUGAGAAAGACUGGAUAGGAGAAGGAGCUUGUACAGACCUCUCUGACAGAGCAAGCACACUAAGAAGGACAGAGACUGUUCCACUAGCCAUCCUCACGUGCUGGCUCACAGGUCCUCUUGGCAGGCAGAACCACUGACCUGCCCGUCAGUGUCGAGGGCUGUCUGAACUCUCCGAGGAAAAUGGAUCACAGACGAACUGCUUCAUAAAUGCAGAGUACAGCGAAAUAAUAAAUCCAGGCAGCUACAGCAAAGUAACCCUGGGAGUCGCAGGAUGUGAUAAGAGCCACAGCAAGGGGACCCCCAACUGCCCAAAUCCUACCAUUAGACAUUGGUGCCUUAAAGCCUCAAAGGCACCAGUCCACAUGACAAGGUAAAUUCAAGGUCAAAGUAGGAUCCAAUUGGCAAGAUGAAAAGCCUAUUACCCGACAGGGAGGCCAAGGUGAGUCUGGCUACUGAGCUGGACAUCACAGCUAUGAGCAUGGGGAACCAGAAGCGCAGCCAGUAACUAGUACAUGCAGCGACAGGACCGAACGGAAGCAGCUUGUACUUGGAGCUGGAUCUCCUGGCCUACAAAUCCCAGCUCCGCAGCUUCUCAGUGGUACCAACCUCGGGCAUGUGCUUCAGUCUGCCUAGGUCCCAGUAUCUGCAUCUGUCAGGUGAGCAUCACAACAGCCUCUCAAUAGCUAUCUUCCCCAUAGUGCUGGGGAUUGCCCCUGGGGCUCUAGUCAUGUUCUGUUAGCAUCCCACCACUGUACUGUAUCCCCAGCCCUCUUUUUAUUUUACUUACUCCUUUUUUGAGACAAGGUCUCUCUUAGUGACUGAGGUGUCUUUGAACUUAGUCUGUAGCUCAGUGUCUUAGUUUCCUUUCUAUUGCUGGGACAAGACACUGUGACCAAGACAAUUUGUCAUUUACUUGGAGGCUUGCUGACAGUUUUGGAAGGUGAGUCUAUGACUAUCAUGGCAGGGAGCGUGGUAUCAGUAAGGCAGACGUGGCAGUAGCCGAGAGCUUACAUCUAGUGUGCAAGUUGGAGGCAGAAAGAGAGUGAAACUGGGCCUUGCAUGGGCUUUCAAAACCUCAAAGUCCACCCCCAGUGACAUACCUUCUCCAGUGAGACCAUAUCUCCUAAGUUUCCCCAAACAAUUUCACUACCUAAGGACCAAGCAUUCAAAUAUCUGAGCCUGUGUGGGCCAUUCUCGUUCAAACCACCACAUUCAGGCUGGUCUUGAACUUGACAUCCUCCUGUAUCAGCCUUCUGCAGACCUGGGAUUGCAAGCCUAUAACCCCAAGUUACUGUGAAGAUCUCCUAGUGAUAGUAAGUUUCUUUCACUCCCAGAGAGGCAGUUCUAGUUAACGUUUCCCAAGUUCAGGAACAUGUUAGUUAUAGACACAGUUUUAGUAGGUCCUCUCUUUAAGUGUGUGUGUGUGUGUGUGUGUGUGUGUGUGUGUGUUUUGCUAGAAUUCCUUCCACAGGGGAAACAUAAGCAACAUUCACUUCUAAUGUUCCAACAACAAACCAAGGCAUGAUUCCACCAAAGUUCAGUCUGGGGAACCAAAGAAUUAGCUCAUUGGACUUCCUUACAGAGCAUGGAUGAGGAGUUACCUACAGAGGUAUGGGUGCCCCUCCUCACACACCUGAAAAGUCUGUACCCAGAAAGAAUGAGUGCUUCCCCAUAGCUGCAUAGAUGUACCUCAUCCCCUAGACUUCUCUAGUCCAUGUAAUCUAGCCUCUCCCUCAAACAGAAUUGCAUAAAAUAAGUGGUAGCAAGUGAUUGGAUACUCAGGUAAGGGUCCUGUGACCCCCCCCCAUCCCUCCAUGAGGGAUGUAAAUAAUCAAGUCCAGAUGAGAUAAUCCUUUUGCAUGAGAUGCACCAUCCCCAAGAUGGCGGUUGCUUUGCUUGGAGGACAGUCAUCUACCCCAAUGUGUGCAGGCAUGCAGAUGUUGUGGCACAUGGUCAGAGGUCAGAGGACAACUGGCAGGAGUCAUUUCUCUCCCUCUCCCUUGUGAGAUCUGGGGCGGGAUUUAGAUCAUCAGGCCAGGCAGCAAGCACCUUCACACACUGCCCCAAUUCACAGGUUCUUUUUUAGAAAUGUUUUUGUUUAUGUGUAUAGGUGUUUUACCUGUAAGCAUAUCUGUGCACAUGUGUGCAGGCCAGAAAGGGGCACUAGAGGCCAUGGAACUAGAGUUACGGUUGGU